rnacentral:rRNA from 1 species
AGAGUUUGAUCAUGGCUCAGAUUGAACGCUGGCGGCAGGCCUAACACAUGCAAGUCGAGCGCGAAAGCACUUCGGUGUGAGUAGAGCGGCGGACGGGUGAGUAACGCGUAGGAAUCUACCUGGUAGUGGGGGACAACUUGGGGAAACCCAAGCUAAUACCGCAUACGCCCCAAGGGGGAAAGCGGGGGAUCUUCGGACCUCGCGCUAUUGGAUGAGCCUGCGUAGGAUUAGCUUGUUGGUGAGGUAAAGGCUCACCAAGGCGACGAUCCUUAGCUGGUCUGAGAGGAUGAUCAGCCACACUGGAACUGAGACACGGUCCAGACUCCUACGGGAGGCAGCAGUGGGGAAUAUUGCGCAAUGGGGGCAACCCUGACGCAGCCAUGCCGCGUGUGUGAAGAAGGCCUUAGGGUUGUAAAGCACUUUCAAUUGGGAAGAAAAGCUGCAGGUUAAUAGCCUGUAGCCCUGACAUUACCUUUAGAAGAAGCACCGGCUAACUCCGUGCCAGCAGCCGCGGUAAUACGGAGGGUGCGAGCGUUAAUCGGAAUUACUGGGCGUAAAGCGCGCGUAGGCGGUUUGUUAAGUCAGCUGUGAAAGCCCUGGGCUCAACCUGGGAACUGCAGUUGAUACUGGCCGACUAGAGUACGAGAGAGGGAGGUAGAAUUCCAUGUGUAGCGGUGAAAUGCGUAGAUAUAUGGAGGAAUACCAGUGGCGAAGGCGGCCUCCUGGCUCGAUACUGACGCUGAGGUGCGAAAGCGUGGGGAUCAAACAGGAUUAGA